CGGCUGUAGCUAAAUUGAAACAACUGAGAGGUUUACUGGCCGGUCGUCGUUUUCUGUCGACAGAUCUGCUUACCGAGCUUCUCACAUUU